rnacentral:rRNA from 1 species
AUGCAGUCGACGAGGAUAUACCCUUCGGGGUAUAAGCCGAGUGGCGCAAGGGUGAGUAAUGCAUAGAUUACCUGCCUCCGGGAUAAGGACAACUUUGUGAAAACGAAGCUAAUACUUAAUAAUACAAAUGAAAAUAAUUUUCAUUUGUCAAUGGGAGGGUAGCAAUACCUUUUGCCUGGAGAGGGGUUUAUGUCCUAUCAGCUUGUUGGUGGGGUAAUGGCCUACCAAGGCGAAGACGGGUAGCCGGUCUUAGAGGAUGGUCGGCCACACUGGGACUGAGACACUGCCCAGACUUCUACGGAAGGCUGCAGUCGAGAAUCUUUCGCAAUGCCCGAAAGGGUGACGAAGCGACGCCGCGUGAGUGAGGAAGGCCUUCGGGUUGUAAAGCUCUGUCAGGAGUUAAGAAAUAUAAGUGUGCUAAUACCACAUUUAUUUGACAAAAGCUCCAAAGGAAGCCACGGCUAACUCUGUGCCAGCAGCCGCGGUAAUACAGAGGUGGCAAGCGUUGUUCGGAAUUAUUGGGCGUAAAGAGCACGUAGGUGGGUUUGUAAGUCAGAUGUGAAAGCCUUCUGUUCAACGGAAGAAUUGCAUCUGAAACUGCAAGUCUUGAGUGUAGGAGGGGAGAAUGGAACUUCUGGUGGAGCGGUGAAAUGCGUAGAUAUCAGAAAGGAACGCCGGCGGCGAAAGCGAUUCUCUGGCCUAUUACUGACACUCAGUGUGCGAAAGCUAGGGGAGCAAACGGGAUUAGAUACCCCGGUAGUCCUAGCUGUAAACGA